rnacentral:rRNA from 1 species
UACAGAGGGGGGCAAGCGUUAUUCGGAAUUAUUGGGCGUAAAGGGCGCGUAGGCGGCUUGGCAAGUGGAUGGUGAAAUCCCUCGGCUUAACCGAGGAACUGCCGUCCAAACUGCUUAGCUUGAGACCGGGAGAGGUGAGUGGAAUUCCCAGUGUAGCGGUGAAAUGCGUAGAUAUUGGGAGGAACACCAGUGGCGAAGGCGGCUCACUGGACCGGUACUGACGCUGAGUGCGCGAAAGCGUGGGGAGCAAACGGG